rnacentral:rRNA from 1 species
UACAGAGGUGGCAAGCGUUGUUCGGAAUUACUGGGCGUAAAGGGCUCGUAGGCGGCCAACUAAGUCGGAUGUGAAAUCCCCAGGCUCAACCUGGGAACUGCAUCCGAUACUGGAUGGCUUGAAUUCGGGAGAGGGAUGCAGAAUUCCAGGUGUAGCGGUGAAAUGCGUAGAUAUCUGGAGGAAUACCGGUGGCGAAGGCGGCAUCCUGGACCGACAUUGACGCUGAUGAGCGAAAGCUAGGGGAGCAAACGGG